rnacentral:rRNA from 1 species
UACGUAGGGGGCAAGCGUUGUCCGGAAUCAUUUGGGCGUAAAGCGCGCGUAGGUGGCCCGGUAAGUCCGCUCUGAAAGUCAAAGGCUCAACCUUUGAAAGCGGGUGGAUACUGCCGGGCUAGAGUCCGGAAGAGGCGAGUGGAAUUCCUGGUGUAGCGGUGAAAUGCGCAGAUAUCAGGAAGAACACCAAUGGCGAAAGCAGCUCUCUGGGACGGUACUGACGCUGAGACGCGAAAGCGUGGGGAGCGAACAGG